rnacentral:rRNA from 1 species
CUGGAACUGAGACACGGUCCAGACUCCUACGGGAGGCAGCAGUGGGGAAUAUUGCACAAUGGGCGCAAGCCUGAUGCAGCCAUGCCGCGUGUGUGAAGAAGGCCUUCGGGUUGUAAAGUACUUUCAGCGGGGAGGAAGGCGAUAAGGUUAAUAACCUUGUCGAUUGACGUUACCCGCAGAAGAAGCACCGGCUAACUCCGUGCCAGCAGCCGCGGUAAUACGGAGGGUGCAAGCGUUAAUCGGAAUUACUGGGCGUAAAGCGCACGCAGGCGGUCUGUCAAGUCGGAUGUGAAAUCCCCGGGCUCAACCUGGGAACUGCAUUCGAAACUGGCAGGCUAGAGUCUUGUAGAGGGGGGUAGAAUUCCAGGUGUAGCGGUGAAAUGCGUAGAGAUCUGGAGGAAUACCGGUGGCGAAGGCGGCCCCCUGGACAAGACUGACGCUCAGGUGCGAAAGCGUGGGGAGCAACAGGAUUAGAUACCCUGGUAGUCCACGCCGUAACG